rnacentral:rRNA from 1 species
UGGGGAAUUUUGGACAAUGGGGGAAACCCUGAUCCAGCCAUCCCGCGUGUGCGAUGAAGGCCUUCGGGUUGUAAAGCACUUUUGGCAGGAAAGAAACGUCGCGGGUUAAUACCCCGCGAAACUGACGGUACCUGCAGAAUAAGCACCGGCUAACUACGUGCCAGCAGCCGCGGUAAUACGUAGGGUGCAAGCGUUAAUCGGAAUUACUGGGCGUAAAGCGUGCGCAGGCGGUUCGGAAAGAAAGAUGUGAAAUCCCAGAGCUUAACUUUGGAACUGCAUUUUUAACUACCGGGCUAGAGUGUGUCAGAGGGAGGUGGAAUUCCGCGUGUAGCAGUGAAAUGCGUAGAUAUGCGGAGGAACACCGAUGGCGAAGGCAGCCUCCUGGGAUAACACUGACGCUCAUGCACGAAAGCGUGGGGAGCAAACAGGAUUAGAUACCCUGGUAGUCCACGCUGUAAACGAUGUCGA